GCCCGGGUGGCGGAACUGGCAAACGCGUACGACUCAAAAUCGUGUGCCGCAAGGCUUGUGGGUUCGACUCCCACCCCGGGCA
rnacentral:tRNA from 1 species